ACUCCCUUAGUUCAGUGGCAGAUUACCAAAGGAAAGUUUGGAAUCGGCGGUUCGAUUCCGUCAGGGAGCU
rnacentral:tRNA from 1 species